GAUGAAGAACGUAGCGAAAUGCGAUAAGUAAUGCGAAUUGCAGAAUUUCCGUGAGUCAUCGAAUCUUUGAACGCACAUUGCGCCCACUGGUAUUCCGGUGGGCAUGCCUGUUCGAGCGUCAUUAUCCUCCCUCAAACCCCGGGUUUGGUGUUGGACCCAAGUUGUGUGAACAACUGGUCUCAAAGACAAUGACGGCGUCCGUGGGACCCUCGGUGCAACGAGCUUUUAGGAGCACGCAUCGAGUUGCAAGGACCUUCCGGGCCGGUCUCCUUUACCUUUUUACAAGGUUGACCUCGGAUCAGGUAGGAAUACCCGCUGAACUUAAGCAUAUCAAUAAGCGGAGGA
rnacentral:misc_RNA from 1 species